CUCCCAGCAAGCAAUAGCCGUCAUUUCAACGUCUGGGUUAAAUAUAGACCAGAUAUAGUCCGGCUAUGUGUAACCCACUUUUAGCCCAAAUAACAUUUAAUCUGGAUAAAUGUAUUUUUUUUGCAAAAUAACUUGUGAGAUGUAUGAUAUUCCAUCAUGUACGCAGAGUCUAACGUGAUUACAAGUUGUUUGGUUUACUUUAUUUUACAUGUUAUAUGUGUAGGCUGUGCGUAGCCACGAUUUAGCUCGUAUUCAGACCCGGCUAUUGUAGCCCACUUUUUGUCAAAACUGAUUAAUUGUAUUUUUUUGCCAGGCAGUGCAUGAAAUGGUUAAUAUUCAAUCAUGUUCGCAUUGGUAUGAUAUCAAGGUUCAAUACGUCAUUUCACGGCAUGGUAGAUCACGAUUUAGCUCCGAAUUGGACGGGCUAUAUGCGGUCUGCUUUAGCCCACCUGGCGAAAUUAUUGCAAUCUGGGCUCAGAUAUAGACCAGCGACCUAGAAUAUUAGUCUUUGAAAUGUUUUCGCUUACACAGCUUAAUAUAUAUUUUCUGUCAAACAUUCAUACACAAUCUACGAUAAAAAUAUCUAAUCAAAUGCAAUUGCAUUUCCCAACCGCUAGAUGGCACAAUUGAAACACUACUGAGACAUGUCUACUGGAACUAAUGCCAUUGCGUGACUAGAUCACUUAAGCCAAAUCUCGCGAUAAACAUUUCCGCCAUUUUAUUUUACACGAGGCAGCUGUCGGAGUGCAACGGGUGAGCAACAGUCUGAGUGAAAACCUUCACAUUUCUACUUCGAUCUUAAGAAAGCCAUACAGGUUUGGAACCAAGUGAAAACGCAGUGAUGACCAGCUUUCCAUCAGCUAUGGAAUGUGAAAUAAAAAAUGCUAUUUCUAAUCAUUU